rnacentral:lncRNA from 1 species
GUAAACUCGCUUUAGGAUUCUAAUCCGAGAAGACAGGAGCAGGUGGGGAUAAUGAGCGUGGAGGGAGCUGCCCAUUAUACCACCGACUGGCCCCUCUUUCACCUCCAGGCUGCCCCAGGCACUUCUCACUUAGCUGUGACCUCACUUGUGGUCACGCCAAGCUGCUGGUCAGGAGCGAGUCACCCAUCCUAUUUCUGAAUCCUCCAGCUGCCUCUGGAGAUAGGUUUCUCCCACCGGAUUCACGUCACAUUGUGUUAUCUGACUUUUGCCAUUUUUGUGAAUAAAGAUGUCCUGAGACUUAACCCGGGAACUCUAGCGGUGCUGCUCAGUAUUCCACACCAGAACUAUUCUGCUAUUGCUCGUCAAUGUUAGACUACGUGGACCUUUAUUUACUGGCCUUUAUGUCUUAAAUCUAAAUAUGUCUCAAGAGGUUUUUCAUAUUCAAAGUACAACUCAUUUCAGUCAUACAACAGACACGUACGGAUCACCUGGUAUGUCCAAGAGAUGUGGGGGUCACACACAUGACUAAAACAUGGUCCUGCCCUCAAAGGGUUAACAAGCGGAUAGAUGUUUUGAUCAAGUCUUUGACAUUCUUGGGGAAAGGCAGCUUUUCGAACCAUGAACGACCUCUCCUUUGCUUGGUAGCUCUUCAACUACAAAGUAGGUCAAACAGGCACACUGUGUUUAGGGACUUAUAAAUGAACAUAGCGCUUCUUGGAUCCUGGCAUUCCACAGCAUAAUUACCUACUCCUGAGCCUGCUGCCACAUGCCCAGAGGGCAGAAUGGAGAGCCAGGAGAGCUGACGUUCAGGGCAGUGCCGUGCAGACAUGCAGAGCAAGCGGCCUCAAGACCAGACUAAGAAACAGAUGGAGAGAGCGAUGGGAGAAGAGACUGACUCAGCACCAGCAACGCAGCAUCCCCCCUGUUUGGGGUACACUCGUUCCAGCCGCAGACCACCCUUGGAUGAAACUGUACCCCAAAGAAGAGCAGACUGGGCAGCGGAGAACAUCGCCGCAUCCAUUGAUGUAAAACAGAGAAGGGGGUACAAUUUGUACGCACGCAGAAAAUGCAUGGAUGGAUACACAGGAAGCUGUUAACCAGUGAGAACCAGAAAUUAUUCCUAAGGAGAAAGGCUGGGAGAGAGACUUCCUUUUCCUGUAUCCUCUUUUGUUCUAAUUGAAUUGUUUUUUUUUUUAAUUGAGGUAACACUGGUUUAGAACAUUAUAUAAAUUUCAGUUGUGCAUUUCUACUAUA